AUUGAACGCUGGCGGAAUGCUUUACACAUGCAAGUCGAACGGUAGAGGGGGCAACCCCUCGAGAGUGGCGAACGGGUGAGUAAUAUAUCGGAACGUGACCAGUCGAGGGGGAUAACGUAGCGAAAGUUACGCUAAUACCGCAUACGAUCUAAGGAUGAAAGCGGGGGAUCGCAAGACCUCGCGCGAUUGGAGCGGCCGAUAUCAGAUUAGGUAGUUGGUGGGGUAAAGGCUCACCAAGCCAACGAUCUGUAGCUGGUCUGAGAGGACGGCCAGCCACACUGGAACUGAGACACGGUCCAGACUCCUACGGGAGGCAGCAGUGGGGAAUUUUGGACAAUGGACGCAAGUCUGAUCCAGCCAUUCCGCGUGCAGGAUGAAGGCCCUCGGGUUGUAAACUGCUUUUGUACGGAACGAAAAGGUCUCUCUUAAUACGGGGGACUCAUGACGGUACCGUAAGAAUAAGCACCGGCUAACUACGUGCCAGCCGCCGCCGUAAGAC
rnacentral:rRNA from 1 species